AUGCAAGUCGAGCGGGGGAAGGUAGCUUGCUACCGGACCUAGCGGCGGACGGGUGAGUAAUGCUUAGGAAUCUGCCUAUUAGUGGGGGACAACAUCUCGAAAGGGAUGCUAAUACCGCAUACGUCCUACGGGAGAAAGCAGGGGAUCUUCGGACCUUGCGCUAAUAGAUGAGCCUAAGUCGGAUUAGCUAGUUGGUGGGGUAAAGGCCUACCAAGGCGACGAUCUGUAGCGGGUCUGAGAGGAUGAUCCGCCACACUGGGACUGAGACACGGCCCAGACUCCUACGGGAGGCAGCAGUGGGGAAUAUUGGACAAUGGGGGGAACCCUGAUCCAGCCAUGCCGCGUGUGUGAAGAAGGCCUUAUGGUUGUAAAGCACUUUAAGCGAGGAGGAGGCUACUUUAGUUAAUACCUAGAGAUAGUGGACGUUACUCGCAGAAUAAGCACCGGCUAACUCUGUGCCAGCAGCCGCGGUAAUACAGAGGGUGCGAGCGUUAAUCGGAUUUACUGGGCGUAAAGCGUGCGUAGGCGGCUUAUUAAGUCGGAUGUGAAAUCCCCGAGCUUAACUAGGGAAUUGCAUUCGAUACUGGUGAGCUAGAGUAUGGGA
rnacentral:rRNA from 1 species